AUGGCUGAGCAAAGAGGUGGGACUGGGGCCUGGCCAUUUCCUCCAGGAGAAGAGGCUGCUCCCAGGGGCAGUCUUUGCUCCCGGACUCUGCUUGGGAUUAGAGACACCUUGGCCAAACUCUCCAUUGUCCCUGUGCGGAGAGGCUACUGGGGAACAAGAUUGGCAAGCCUCACACUGUCCCAUGCAAGGUGACAGGCUGCUGUGGUUCUGUGCUGGUUCGUCUCAUCCCUGCCCCCAGGGGCACUGGCAUCGUGUCGGCUCCUGUGCCCAAGAAGCUACUGCUGAUGGCUGGUAUUGAUGACUGCUACACUUCAGCCAGGGGCUGCACUGCCACCCUGGGCAACUUUGCUAAGGCCACCUUUGAUGCCAUCUCCAAGACCUACAGCUACUUGACCCCCGACCUCUGGAAAGAGACCGUGUUCACCAAGUCUCCCUAUCAGGAAUUCACUGACCAUCUUGUAAAACCCACACCAGAGUGUCUGUGCAGAGGACCGAGGCUCCAGCUGUGGCUACAACAUAG